GUCCACAGCCACACCACCCUGAAGGCGCCCGAUCGCAUCCGAUCUUGGAAGCUAAGCAGAGUCCGGCCUGGUUAGUACUUAGAUUGGAGGAAAAGCAACUUCAGGCA
ensembl:rRNA 5S_rRNA 5S ribosomal RNA